UAAAUUGAAGCCCCCCCUUUUUUUCCCCUCAUGCUCGCAAAACCAGUUGUAUAAAAAAGUCCACUCGAUCCUCGAUCCUCGAUCCUCGAUCCUCUCCUCCUCUGCAUAGCCUCUGUUUCUUUCGCUCUCUUCUCUCUUUCUAGGGUUUAUCAGUAUCAAUUCAUAAACCAUAAAUUCUUCACUAAACCUCUCUACGAUUUCACACUCGUAAGAGCUCUCAAACCCAUAUAAAUCAUCUCUCUUUCUCUUUCUCUUUCUCUCCAACGGUUCUGAGAUUCACUUCAAAUUCCUUCAAAUCACUGGUUGGUGAGGUGAAUUUUGGGGAUUUUUGCGUUUUAAAGCCGUAAAUGAUACGAGGGUUUGAAUAUGAACGAUGGAGGUAAAGUGGAGAGCAAGAGAGAGACUGAGAAUGAAAACGAACCACCAAAACGAUCCAGUGCCGAUGAGUUUGGCCGAGCCGUGUCGCAGAUUGCGGUGGCUCAGAUAUGUGAGAGUGUUGGGUUUGAGAGCUUCAAAGACUCUGCUUUGGAGGCUCUCACAGAUAUUGCGGUUCGAUAUCUCCGUGAUUUAGGAAAGACGGCGAAUUUUUAUGCUAAUUUAGCUGGUAGGACUGAGUGUAACGUGUUUGAUGCUAUACAAGGGUUGGAAGAUUUGGGAUCGUCUAGGGGGUUUUCGGGUGCUUCAGAGGUUAGUCAUUGUCUCACUGGUUCGGGUACAGUGAGGGAGAUUGUUGAUUAUGUGAGGAUUGCUGAGGAAAUCCCAUUUGCUCAGCCAGUCCCACACUUUCCGGUGAUGAGACAUCAGACUAUGACCCCGAGUUUUAUGCAAAUGGGUGAACCGUCAACAUUUAAGCACAUUCCAACUUGGUUGCCUGCGUUUCCUGAUCCUCAUACGUAUAUACACACAGACACAUGGAAUGAAAGGGAAAAUGAUCCUCGUGCUGAUAAAAUUGAGCUAGCUAGGCAGAGGAGGAAGGCAGAAAGGUCUUUGUUGAGUUUGCAACAGCGGUUGGUAUGCAAUGGUUCUGCAGUAGCUUCCACUUCAACAAAUGAGAGUAAUGACGGGAAGGCUUUACAAAUUGCCAAAACUAAAAGCCCGUUUCUUGCUACGCCUUCGCAAGAUGGGGAGAAAGAUGUUUCUCCAAUUCCACUGCCAGCUAAGCUUUCUGAUGAAGCUGUUGCUGAAAGCCAUGUUUCUUUGUUAGACACGUUUGCUCCUGUUAUUGAAGCAAUGAAGGGUGGUUUUUGUGAUUCCGAAUGUAGGGUUCUUCCAGACAGGAGGCCUGCUGUCCAUUUGAAUUUUAAAACAGGCAAGAAAAUUUUAGGUGAAUCUCUAGAUUUGAGACUUCAAAGUAGAGGUUCUGGGAAAACAGCUUCUUGGAUUGAGUGGGAUGAUGAGAAAGAUGACAAGAAAAGGAGAGCUGAGUUAAUUCUUAGACAAUCUAUGGAAAACUCACAGGAGCUCACUCAGUUGUGACUAAUUUAUUGGAUGGCUUGCUUGAUGGAAGUCAUUGUAUUCUUCAGAAAGUUAGCAAUGUACCAAGGGAGCUGAAAUGUUAAAAGCAUAUUGUAAUGCAGUGCUUGUUAUGAGCAUUCAGGUGGAGACCCUUGUAGUCCCAGCUGAAAACAAUUUUUUAAGUGAUAUUUUGGCCAGAGGAGCAGACCAUUGAGAAGCAUUUCAUCCUUCUCCAGGUUUGUUGGAUUUUGGUGUUCUUGUUUGGAAAAACUGUUGUUUGCCCUUGGAUUGUAGCUGAAGGAGGCGAAGGCAAGGACUUCAUAUUCAUUCCAAUGGAGAGUGCCUCUUUGUUUUGUUUGAUUUGAUCUGUUGGCAGCUUUGGGGUUAUUGUACUUUUAGUUUGUUUGGCUGGAGGUGUCAGUCUGCUAUUAUGGUGGCAUGAAUUAUCAACAAGGGGCUUUCACGUUGCAGGGAGCAAUGAAGACAACAUUUGCUUAAAUGAUGGACUUUCUUUAAGGAUAUGAUGUUAUUUAUCUGAACAUGUUUGGUGGGAUGCGGAGGAAAUUGAAGAAUUCUUUGGAGCUCAUUUGCUUUGCACGGUACGACCAAAACGCCCGGUUGAUCAAAUCCAAAUUCUUGCUCGGCUGCUUCCAACAACUUGACAAAGGGAGGAUAUGCAAGGUAACUUAAUGCAACCAAGAACUUCCUUGCUUCUUCACCAUUGCAGAUGGCUAGCACCGGGAAGUGUCCUUCCAUGGGGUUCGCUUCAUCGAUGAUCUUCUUGGUAAUGUUGCAGUCCCCGGUUUCCUGUUUUAGAAGGCAGAGGAAACCCUUCUGCAAUUGCUUCACUGCAUACUUAACCCAAACAAAGCAUCCACUGCUUUUGAAGUUUUUUUGCAAUCUAGACUGACCCAUGUGCUUUGAAGGUUUUUUUUUAUCACCAAAUCCAAAAUCUCUGCUCUUUUUGAUGUUUUGUAAUGGGAAGAUGUUUCGGGAUAUAUAUAUAUAUAUAUAUAGAAACAGAAGUUGUUGAA